AACGCGAAGAACCUUACCUGGGCUCGAACGGCUGCUGAACGGUGGUAGAAAUACUGCCUUUCCCGCAAGGGACAGUAGUCGAGGUGCUGCAUGGCUGUCGUCAGCUCGUGUCGUGAGAUGUUGGGUUAAGUCCCGCAACGAGCGCAACCCUUGUCCUGUGUUGCUAACCGUAAGGUGCACUCUCAGGAGACCGCCAGCGAUAAGUUGGAGGAAGGUGGGGAUGACGUCAAGUCAUCAUGGCCUUUAUGUCCAGGGCUACACACGUGCUACAAUGGACGGUACAAAGCGCUGCCAACCCGCGAGGGGGAGCUAAUCGCAAAAAACCGUUCUCAGUUCGGAUUGCAGGCUGCAACUCGCCUGCAUGAAGCUGGAAUCGCUAGUAAUGGCAUAUCAGAACGAUGCCGUGAAUACGUUCCCGGGCCUUGUA
rnacentral:rRNA from 1 species